rnacentral:rRNA from 1 species
GACGAACGCUGGCGGCGUGCCUAACACAUGCAAGUCAACUUGACUGAAGGAGCAAUCUGACAGUAGAGUGGCGCAAGGGUGCGUAACGCGUAAGUAACUUGCCCCAAGGUAAGGAAUAACGUCGAGAAAUCGGCGCUAAUACCUCAUAAUGCAGCGGAUCCGCAUGGAUAUGUUGUUAAAGGUUUACCGCCUUGGGAUAGGCUUGCGUCUGAUUAGCUAGUUGGUGUGGUAACGGCACACCAAGGCUACGAUCAGUAACUGGUCUGAGAGGAUGAUCAGUCACACUGGAACUGAGACACGGUCCAGACUCCUACGGGAGGCAGCAGUGAGGAAUAUUGGGCAAUGCUCGAAAGAGUGACCCAGCAACGCCGCGUGGAGGAUGAAGGUAUUCUAUAUCGUAAACUCCUGUGAGAGCAGACGAAGACAGAUUAUUAAUCUGGAUGACUGUAUGCUCAGAGGAAGCCCCGGCUAACUACG